CCCUGGUGGCUCAGACGGUAAAGAAUCUGCCUGCAAUGCAGAAGACCUGGGUUCAAUCCCUGGAUCAGGAA
rnacentral:tRNA from 1 species